AACGAACGCUGGCGGCAUGCCUAACACAUGCAAGUCGAACGAUGCCUUCGGGCAUAGUGGCGCACGGGUGCGUAACGCGUGGGAAUCUGCCUUUCGGUUCGGAAUAACUCAGGGAAACUUGAGCUAAUACCGGAUAACGUCGCAAGACCAAAGAUUUAUCACCGAAAGAUGAGCCCGCGUAGGAUUAGCUAGUUGGUGAGGUAAAGGCUCACCAAGGCGACGAUCCUUAGCUGGUCUGAGAGGAUGAUCAGCCACACUGGGACUGAGACACGGCCCAGACUCCUACGGGAGGCAGCAGUGGGGAAUAGUGGACAAUGGGCGAAAGCCUGAUCCAGCAAUGCCGCGUGAGUGAUGAAGGCCUUAGGGUUGUAAAGCUCUUUUACCCGGGAAGAUAAUGACGGUACCGGGAGAAUAAGCCCCGGCUAACUCCGUG
rnacentral:rRNA from 1 species